rnacentral:lncRNA from 1 species
ACUGCAGUGCGACACCCUGCCGGGAGCUGAAUCUGAAGCCGGAGCUUGUGAGCCACACAGGCCCUGGUGACAGCGGCCUGACCUUGGGUUUGUGAGCCCCAGAGCAGGAACCCUAGGGGUAAUCGGUCCUCUGGUCGCUAGCGUCUAUGCGCCCCCACCUACCCGUACAGAGUCUCCGGCCUCCGGCGACUGUCCCCACGUGUUCCGAAGCCCCAGGUGCCGCCGUGCUGGCUCCAGAAGUCAAGAGGCCGAGGGGACCGGAGCGCGCUGGCAGCUGCCGCACCACGUGUGCUAACCGGGCUGGCGGCGCGGGCGGAGCGGGCCGGGGCUGGUUCCUCCAGCCCCAGCGCAAACCGCUUGCCACGCGCUGUGUCGCCGGCCGGCGGCCCAGUCCAGCACAAGCCUCUAGGGCAUUUGGGGACACUGUCUGGACAGCGCAAUGGACACGGUCUGCAAAGGAAACGAUGGAUCUGGGGAGAAUUGGUUCAGAGCCUUCAGCACAUGAAAUCUUCACUGCCUCAUGGUCGCUUAUUUGGAAAUGUGAUGAAGUGUGAAGAGACUGCACCAGCAGGAGGAAUCACUUAGAAAUUUUAAAACAUGAAAAAUAGUUCCACAGACAUGCGCGUGGUUACAAGUCAACUGACACAGGCUGAAGACUUUAGCUACUCAUCACAAAGCUACUGACUUUUCUUCCCAUCUCAGAAGCAUCAACGGAGAACUUUCCAUUAAUUUGUUUGCAUUAAUUAGAUUAUUUGGAAGAAAAAUGGAGCUUGUCGCCUUUAACCUAAUAUGUCACUUUGCCUACUACCUACUACAGUUAUUGUUUUGUAAUACAGUACCUCUCUCUUUCUAGGCAUGAUACUAGACUGAGUGCCAAGCAAUAGAGUUUGGGGAGUAGUGUAAGGUGUCAUCAAACAUCUCUUUUCUUAUGGUUAGAGCCAUUGUACAAAAGCUCCAUUGACUAAAACUUCAAAUUUUUCAUUAUUGUUGAUAGGUACACAAUGUGCAGAGGCCAGAAAACAUCAGCAGCAGCACUGUGCAAAAUGAUUGAUUGCCUAGCUGAAUUAGCCUAAGUGCUCAUACAACAUUUUCAUUAGUCUUAUUCAUAGUUAAUAUCUAAUUGAUGAUAAUAGUGAUACUAUUUGGAUAUAUGCCACAUCUGAAUCAUUUGGGUUUUGAUAUUAUCUAAUCCUUUUUUUUACAAUUAUGUGUGUGUAAAUGUGCUUACACUUGUGUGCUCAUGUGUGUGAUGUUCAGAGAAAAACCUUAGGUAUCAUGCACGUCUAAAAUAGAAUCUCCCAUUGGCCCAGAGCUCACCAAUUAUCUUUGCUUAACUGCCUAGUAAGCCCAAGGAAACAUAUUCUCAUUUGAGACAGAAAAUAAACAUUGAUAGACAUUAAAAUGGCUACUGUGAAUAUUAAGAUAUUAGAUAACAGCUAUGGACCUUAAUUAGAUUACUUGAGAUAAGACAAUAGUAACACAUUUAACUACACAGUUCAGAAUCUUUGCUACUUAUUCUUCUGAUGUAGAUAAUCAAGGAAACAAAUGUUACCCUGCUUGUCACCUCUCAGCAUAGCACUCAUACAAACUAUUUACUAAAGGUAAAAACGUUUUUUCCAAAAUGUCUGUAAAGAAUGUCUAUUGUAGGUUAUUUGGUGGGAUGCUUACCUGGCCUGCACUAAACUACACUGCAUAAACCAGGUUGGACUGAGCCUACCUGUGAUCCUAGCAGUCGGUAGAUAGAGAAACCGAAGUUCAAGGCCAUUCUCAACUACUUACCAAGUUCUCAGACAGCCUGGAGUAUUUGAGACACUCUCUGAGAAUGGAAUCUAACACAGUUGUCUUCCAAAUCUAACCAAAAUGCCUCCUUACUUUCUAACAUACAAAUAAAAAGUAUUAGUUCUGGUUUAUUUUAACUUUAGAACCAAUGUAGGAAAACAACUAUACUUUUUUCAUUAAAAUAAGCCAAUUCAAGUGGGUAACGUCCAAAUGUGUCUUGGAAUUAGGUAGGUAUUGUGGUCAUUUCUCAGCGCUAGCUGGGUAAUUGGCUAUUUCAUUUAAAACAUUAGGAUUUCUAUAAGUCCCCUCUCUGGCCUUCUUCAAGCAACAUUUAUAUUUGUACAUGGUGAAUGUAAUUAGGCUUUUUAUCACUAGCCAUUUUAAAAAACAGAUUUGAGAGAUCAUUUUAAAGAUUUAAAAUGUGUUUUAAAUUAAAUUAAUAAUUGUAAAUAUGCAUCUGUGGCUUUUGCAUGCUCACAAUCCAACAGAUUGCUCCUAUUAACAAUACAAAAGAGCAAUAAGAUUUGGAAAGGGAAAAAAGAAAACUUAAGUGAAAACCACAAGUAGAAGAGCUGAAUGGCUGCUAGUAUGUAGAGAGUUAGAGCAGCAAGCAGGACUAAAGAGCUCCUGCAGAUGGAUCUGGUGGUUGGCUUGUGAUGGGC